GCAGGAGCAGUGCCGAGAAAUUAGGCGCAGAGAGAGAGAGAGAGAGAGAGAGAGAGAGAGAGAGAGCCGCAUCUUUUCCUACUUCAAAUGUUUUUCGGGAAACUGCUUUUAUAUAUGCAGAAGGAUUUGGCUCAGCUGCUUAAAAAGGCUACCAACUUUAAGGCCAAACAAAGAUUGCCAUGGCAGAGAUGAAGAUCUUUCUUCGCUGAACCACCCAAAGAGCACGGGAAACUACCGUUAUUUGGCAGUAAAGGUGGUUAGCACUCUUUCCUUCUUUCUUUCUUUGUCUUCAAUCCUCUCUUUCUCAGUUGCAAGCUUUGCUACAUUCUUCUUCUUCUUCUUAGUACCAGUUUGUUGUCAAUCUCUGUCUUCACAGACAUGAAGCAACGUUCAAAGUACAACACAGAGAGGAAUAGGGCUGAAAUAUAUUGUUUGGGUUGGUGGUGCGUACAGUUCUUCUGGCCCAGAGUGGUGAUUCGCAAAUGGCUCAACAUCAGCACCGACGACUCCGAAUUCAGCGCCGACGAAGAUGACUUCAAUGAAAAUUCCGGUUCCGAUUCCGAUUCCGAGGCUGAAGGAUUCAGUCAAAGGGGAAGAGAAUUUCGGUGUAGGGGCAACAAAGGGGAUGAUGCUCAGGUUGAUCCUAAUGAUUCUUUCUCAAGGUUAAAAAGAAGAAGAAAAUCAGAGACUUUUAGGGCACAGUAUAUAAACACGGAGGAACUCAGAAUAUGUGCUGGGACUUGGAAUGUUGGAGGGAAACUUCCACCUGAUGACCUAGAUAUUGAUGAUUGGCUAGAUACCAAUGAGCCAGCUGAUAUCUAUGUGCUUGGCCUUCAGGAGAUUGUGCCAUUAAAUGCUGGGAAUGUCUUUGGAGCUGAAGAUGGCCGCCCAGUUCCAAGGUGGGAAAACAUUAUUCGUGAAACACUGAAUCGGAUUCAGCCUAAGGCAACCAAGAUAAAAUGCUUUAGUGAUCCCCCAUCUCCAUCAAAGUUUAAGCCAUCUGAUGAUGCCCCAGAUAUAGAAGAGGAGAUGUUGCUUGAAAGUGAUAGUGAUGUAGGUGAGGAAGUUCACCCAUUCGAUGAAGAACAAAAUGUUUUUGAUGAAAGUGAGGAUAGACCAAUCACAGAGAAAAAUGCGUAUGUGAAUUCUGGAGUUUUAGACUCUUCUCGAAGUGCCAAAUUAGACAUGCCAAGUGAACAAGAGUUAGAGAGGCAAUUUUCUUCUCAAAAGAAGUUGGAUAGGUUAAAUUGUUUACGGACAGAAGAUCCAGAAGAUGUGGAAGCAUUAGUUGCUCGAAGCAGUGGCAAAUUAACCAAAAUGCUUAGUGGGUCUGAAAGGAUUGGUUUGAGCUGGCCAGAACGUCCACUAAACUUGCUAUAUCAACGUGUAUUAGAGCGACCGAAUUCCUUUACAUUAAAUAAAUCUUUUAAAGCAUCCAAGUCUUUCGGACCAUAUAGGUCUUUCAAGUUAACUUCAAAUGAAGUUACGUCACAGAUAGCAUUGCUUGCAGAAAUUGACCUCGAAUUACUCUUGAAGAGGAAACGAAGAUCAUCAUUUGUAAGGAUAGUAAGUAAACAGAUGGUUGGGAUUUUCCUCACUAUUUGGGUUCGCAGGAGCUUGCGUAGACAUAUUCACAACUUAAAGGUGUCUACUGUAGGUGUUGGUGUGAUGGGCUACAUUGGUAACAAGGGAUCAAUAUCUGUCAGCAUGUCCAUCUAUCAGACGCUUUUUUGUUUUAUAUGCACUCACCUGACAUCAGGCGAAAAGGAUGGAGAUGAAUUAAAAAGAAAUGCUGAUGUGCGGGAAAUACAUCGGAGAACUCAUUUUCAUUCGCUUUCUGAUAUUGGGCUUCCCAGGAGCAUCCUUGAUCAUGAAAGAAUAAUUUGGUUGGGUGAUCUCAACUACCGCAUAAACUUGUCAUAUGAGAAAACACGAGAACUUAUCUCCAAAAUGAGGUGGUCCGAGUUGGUUGAGAGUGACCAGCUUGUACGGGAGCUUAGGAAAGGCCGUGCCUUUGAUGGAUGGUCUGAGGGUCCUUUAAAUUUUCCACCGACAUAUAAAUAUGAGAUCAAUUCAGAGAAGUACUACAGAGAGGAUCCAAAGGCUGGGAGGCGUACACCAGCAUGGUGUGAUCGUAUUCUUUCGCAUGGUAAGGGAAUGAGGCUACUGAGUUACAGAAGAACUGAGCUUAAACUUUCGGAUCACCGACCUGUGAUGGCCACAUAUAUGGCUGAGGUUGAGGUGUUUUCUUCUAGGAAACUACAGAAGGCACUCACUUUCACAGACGCAGAGAUUGAAAAUGAGGACAAUAUUGCGGAUAUGGGUACUGAUGUUGGAAUGGGCCGCUUAAGAUUGGAAGAGGACAUAUCUCUAAUUUAGAGUUAAGGGAGGAUUUGACAACACUUUUGAGUGGCUCUGUGUUGGGAUUGGUGAGGAUAUCACCAAAGAUGACAGUGAUCUCGACGCCAUCGCUCUCCUAACACGGGAUAUCAAAAUGAGAGCGGUGGGAGAGCCAUUGAUACAGUAGGGGGAUGAUCAUCCAUGUGAAUCUAUAACAAGUUCCAUGACUGGAAAAUGUUCCUUUGCUUUGCUACUUGCCACCUAGUGGUAGGCAACUUGAGAUCCAUUAUUGCAUAUGAAGAAUGUUCUCAAACUCUUUUCAUCCUUGAUGAAUUUCACAGCCAAUGGAUGUCUUUAUUUAAUUAUAAGGGGCAACUGACUAGACACCCACAAAUGCUCGGCUUCUAUUCA